GAUGAACGCUGGCGGCGUGCCUAAUACAUGCAAGUCGAGCGAACGGACGAGAAGCUUGCUUCUCUGAUGUUAGCGGCGGACGGGUGAGUAACACGUGGAUAACCUACCUAUAAGACUGGGAUAACUUCGGGAAACCGGAGCUAAUACCGGAUAAUAUUUUGAACCGCAUGGUACAAAAGUGAAAGACGGUCUUGCUGUCACUUAUAGAUGGAUCCGCGCUGCAUUAGCUAGUUGGUAAGGUAACGGCUUACCAAGGCAACGAUGCAUAGCCGACCUGAGAGGGUGAUCGGCCACACUGGAACUGAGACACGGUCCAGACUCCUACGGGAGGCAGCAGUAGGGAAUCUUCCGCAAUGGGCGAAAGCCUGACGGAGCAACGCCGCGUGAGUGAUGAAGGUCUUCGGAUCGUAAAACUCUGUUAUUAGGGAAGAACAUAUGUGUAAGUAACUGUGCACAUCUUGACGGUACCUAAUCAGAAAGCCACGGCUAACUACGUGCCAGCAGCCGCGGUAAUACGUAGGUGGCAAGCGUUAUCCGGAAUUAUUGGGCGUAAAGCGCGCGUAGGCGGUUUUUUAAGUCUGAUGUGAAAGCCCACGGCUCAACCGUGGAGGGUCAUUGGAAACUGGAAAACUUGAGUGCAGAAGAGGAAAGUGGAAUUCCAUGUGUAGCGGUGAAAUGCGCAGAGAUAUGGAGGAACACCAGUGGCGAAGGCGACUUUCUGGUCUGUAACUGACGCUGAUGUGCGAAAGCGUGGGGAUCAAACAGGAUUAGAUACCCUGGUAGUCCACGCCGUAAACGAUGAGUGCUAAGUGUUAGGGGGUUUCCGCCCCUUAGUGCUGCAGCUAACGCAUUAAGCACUCCGCCUGGGGAGUACGACCGCAAGGUUGAAACUCAAAGGAAUUGACGGGGACCCGCACAAGCGGUGGAGCAUGUGGUUUAAUUCGAAGCAACGCGAAGAACCUUACCAAAUCUUGACAUCCUUUGACAACUCUAGAGAUAGAGCCUUCCCCUUCGGGGGACAAAGUGACAGGUGGUGCAUGGUUGUCGUCAGCUCGUGUCGUGAGAUGUUGGGUUAAGUCCCGCAACGAGCGCAACCCUUAAGCUUAGUUGCCAUCAUUAAGUUGGGCACUCUAAGUUGACUGCCGGUGACAAACCGGAGGAAGGUGGGGAUGACGUCAAAUCAUCAUGCCCCUUAUGAUUUGGGCUACACACGUGCUACAAUGGACAACACAAAGGGCAGCGAAACCGCGAGGUCAAGCAAAUCCCAUAAAGUUGUUCUCAGUUCGGAUUGUAGUCUGCAACUCGACUACAUGAAGCUGGAAUCGCUAGUAAUCGUAGAUCAGCAUGCUACGGUGAAUACGUUCCCGGGUCU
rnacentral:rRNA from 1 species